GUCUCAGGCCGUAUCAGCCUGAAGGCGCCUGAUCUCGUCUGAUCUCGGAAGCUAAGGCAGGGUCGGGCCUGGUUGUAUCUUGGAUGGGAGACCACCUGGGAAUCCCGGGUGCUCGAGGCU
rnacentral:rRNA from 1 species